CAAGUAAGCAAGGUGGUCGCCCCCUCACUUGGUCCGAUGAUUAGUAUUUAGGAAACAUAAAUACCUUAUAUAUUUAAUCAUUAAGCCAAGUGAGGGGGAGGAAAGUCCGAACACCAUUCCCGAUUUAAUGUCGGGGUAAAAUGGCAACUCCUAACGGGAGCCGAGAGUAACAAAAGAGUAGAAGCGCUUAAGACUUCUGCACUUUUGCCAAGCUUAGGGCAAGUGCAACAGAAAAUAUACCGCCUAAGUCCUCCGCAGUUGCGGUGGAACGGUAAGGUUGAAAUCGUGGGCCCACCUUUGGGUGGGAUACCCUCGCUUCGGCGAGAUAAAGUAAGAGCCCACGGCCGACAGACUGGUAACAGUCGGGUUGGUAAACUCCUGCCUGGUGCAAUGCCAAAUUAGGUAGGCAGCUUGAUCCCGACGGCAACGUCGGGACCAGAUAGAUGACCACCCCCCUUAAAAGUGGGUGACAGAAUUCGGCUUAUUAGCUUACUUGGAUA
rnacentral:RNase_P_RNA from 3 species